GUGUUUGGAUGGCCUGAUCCAAACACGCGGGAAUGUUGCUCGAGUUAAGAACUCGAGCUACAUUCCCAAGUGUUUGGAUCAGGCCAUCCAAAC